rnacentral:misc_RNA from 1 species
GUUGUCUUUGUAACAUUUGCGAAACGUGGCGUCCAUUUUCCUCAAUAUAGGAAAAGGAAGGUAUUGGAGCUACUGUUUGAAGCUUAGUAACUCGGAAUGGGUUCCACAAAGAAACAUAAACACAGUGAAUCAAAGAAAAAGAAACAUCGUAGUAGAUCACGAAGUCCCGAGAGGAAAGAAAGGCAUCGCCAUCACAAGAAACAUCACAAGGAGAAAAAGAAAGACAAACUAACUUCGAAAGAAAGAAAUGGAGAAUAUGCGCCGAAGCACGACAGCUACGAAAGCGAAGAUGAUGAUGUUGUGGUUGUACCACCCCCUCCAAAAAUCUCGGCAAGACCUUCACCACCACCACCGCCAUCAAUAUCGUUAUCAAAGAGCAAAGAAAAUGAUGCUGCUGCUGCUGCUUCUACUAAUGCCGCCACUGCCACUGCUACUCCUGCAACUGACACUCAGUCCUACCAGUCAUUAUCAAUCGAAGAGACAAAUAGAUUGCGAGCACGACUGGGGUUGAAACCAUUGGCAGUAGAACCUGCUGCCCCAACGGCCGAACAGAAAGAAAAAAUGAAAGAGAGAGAGGAAUCGGGAGCAACACUUGGUGGAACAGACAUGGGGGAGUUUGUUCAUAAGCCUGCAGAAAGCAUAACAGAGAAGGUGAAAACUGAAAAAGUCAGACAGAAGGUGCAGGAACACAGGGAAAGGAGGCUCUUAGAAUCAAAGAUGCUGAAAGUAAAACCCUUAGGAGAGUCUGAUGAUGAAGAAUACAGUGAUGUGGCAGCUUGGGUGCAGAAGAACAGAAAACUACAACAAGAAAAGGAAAAAGCAGAGAAACAGGCAAAAAUGCUGGAAGAGCUUGAUGCUGAGUUUGGAGUUGGAGACUUGGUGGAAGAUGAGAUAAGAAAUGAAAAGCGAGAAGCCUAUACAUCAAAGGAUCUUCAAGGACUUCGUGUUGAACAUGCUGUUGACCGGUUUAUGGAAGAGAGAGAGGUUAUUCUGACACUUAAAGACAAGGAUGUGUUGGAUGAGGAAGACGAUGUUUUAGUGAAUGUGAAUCUCAUGGAUGAGGAACGCUAUGAGAAGAAUGUUGAAAAUAAGAAACUAAAACCAAAUUCGAGAGGCUAUAAUGUUUACGAAGACGAAGGUUUUGAUGAAUUUGGAAAUUAUAGGAGAAAAGAAAUCCUAAGUAAAUAUGACGAGGAAAUCAAGGGUGCAACGAAACAAAGUUUUGCAAUAGGAGAAGAUGUGACUGCAGAAAAACAAAAGCAAGCCUUAGAGGCAGUGCGUAAUCGCCUGCAAAAGAAAAGAGUGGAAUCCCUUGUCCUUCCUGCACCACAGCUUGCAUCGGAGUACUAUACUGCAGAAGAAGUAGAAGUAAAGUUCAAAAAACCCAAAAAGAAGGUUCGAAAAAUUCGCAAGAAGCCUCUGAAAGCAGAGGAGUUAGCUAAUCAGGUACCCAGCACAUGGGACUUCGCUACAAGAUCUAUUAAACGGGAAGAAGGUAGUGAUGCAGAUGAGUGUGUUAUAAAUCCAUUGAAUCAAGUUGUUGUGAAACAAGAACCAGAUGAAGUGAUGGAUGUAGAUGAUCUACCACCUCCUCCUGAAGAUUUGAAUGGACUCAAACUCGAUCAAGAUGAAAGUGAACUUGAGCUUCAUUUAGCUCUGAAAAAGGCAAGGAAACUCAAACUUAAGGAGAUGAGUGAACAAUCAUCAAGUGUUGAGAAGGUUGCCAAAACUAUUCUUGAUGAGGCAGCAGAAGAUGGCUCUGAACAAGGAGGGUCAAUUGUACUCAAUGCAACAGCUGAAUUUUGUAGAACUCUAGGUGAUAUCCCAACAUAUGGCCUUUCAGGAAAUAGGGAUGAGGAUGCUGAAGAACUGCUGGACUUUGAACGAGAAUUGGUGGAAGAGAAGAACAAACAAGAUGAAGAAGGCAAAAGAGGGGCUUGGAAUGAAGUAGAAAUUGAUGAAAGACCAGUUGAUGUCCUACCAGCAGAAGUUCCCAUUCUAGAUGCAGAACCUGAUGUUGGAGUUGGAGUAGCAGGAGCUCUGCGCUUAGCAGUCAGCAAGGGUUAUCUUGAGAAGGAAGAUAUGAACAAACCGUCAGCUUCUCGUUUUGCUCAUUUGCAGGCGCAGAAUUACUCUAUUGAGGACAAAACCCAUAUAGAUGAUGAUAAGUUUGGGCGACGUGAACGGUAUAAUGGGCCAACUUCAGAGUUUAAAGAAAAGGAUGGAUACAAACCUAAUGUAAAACUUGAUUAUAUUGAUGAUGAUGGUCAUGUUCUGAAUGCCAAAGAAGCAUUCAGGUACCUGUCACAUAAAUUUCAUGGGAAAGGGCCAGGCAAAAACAAAGUAGAGAAACGUAUGAAGAAAAAUGAACAGGAAGGGAAACUGAAGAGCAAAUUCGGAACGUUGCUGCGGAUCAUGAGAUUUCAGUUGCAGCACUGUCUGGGUCUUGUAUGAGUCCCAGUGUAAAAUAGACCACAAAAUUUUCUGUAUGGUUGCCCAUAGGAUGGACAAUUCGUGUGACACUGCACAAGCACUACCUGGGGCAUGUGCCACAUGUUGAUGAAACAAAUGAGCUCAACAGACACACCAUUAGGAACACUGAGUUUACUUCAACAGAAGCAGAAAGAAACUCAGUCAGCAUUUGUUGUCCUCAGUGGAAGCAAACAGGC